AUUGAACGCUGGCGGCAGGCCUAACACAUGCAAGUCGAACGAGUGGCGGACGGGUGAGUAAUUUCUGGGAAACUGCCUGAUGGAGGGGGAUAACUACUGGAAACGGUAGCUAAUACCGCAUACCAUCGGAUGUGCCCAGAUGGGAUUAGCUAGGAGGUGGGGUAAAGGCUCACCUAGGCGACGCUCCCUAGCUGGUCUGAGAGGAUGACCCGCCACACUGGAAAUGAGACACGGUCGAGACUCCUACGGGAGGCAGCAGGGGGUAAUAGUGCACAAUGGGCGCAAGCGUGAUGCAGCCAUGCCGCGUGUAUGACGAGGGCUGGAGGGUUGUAAAGUGCUUUCAGCGGUGAGGCGUUACCCGCAGAAGAAGCACCGGAUAACUCCGGGCCAGCAGCCGCGGUAAUAC
rnacentral:rRNA from 1 species